rnacentral:lncRNA from 1 species
GUUAUUCUACCUGUAAAAUUUUAAACCGUUUUCAAUUCCGAAUUGGGCAUAACCGAAUUCAUUCCGAAACCGAUUUCAAAUUUGAAAACGGUAAUGAAUUCGGUUAAACCGAAUUCAUCUAUUUAAAAAAUAAAAAAAAAGCCUGUUAUCGGCUUAAGUUUGCAACGCUGCUUCCGUACAAUUUACAGGCUAUGAGGCUAAUUGCAAACUAAUUCUAAUUGCAAACUUACAGGCUACAAGCCUACAACACCAAUUCAAAGGAAAUCAACAUCCAAAUUAUUACACACACAUUACAAAUGCCAAAAUCCAUCAAAUACAAAUCUGGAGUACCAAGUACCAACUGCCAAUAGACAAUACAACGACAAGGAGGUAAAAUUUUCAUUUUAGCAAGUUUUUUUCUUUUUAAUUUUUCUAACGGGUAAAAGGUGGAAUUUUUCCCCAAGGUCUUAACUUUUAAAGUCGAUCUUGGCCAUUUUACUGCCAGAGAUGAGCACUUACCUAAGCGAGCCAGAGAUGAGCAGUGAUUGGUGCUUCGGCUUUGGCACUCAGCAGCGAUGAACCAGCACGGCAGGGAUGAACUGGUGAAGUGAGAAAUUCGGUCGAAUGAGGACUGAGAUGGAGACAGGAGAGACGUAGACUGUGGCGGAGAGCAGCUUCGAUUUGGGAAUUGGGACUUGGGAGUGAAGCUGUGAAAGCCCUAAGUGAAGGCACUACCGCACUAGGCAGUGAUU